rnacentral:rRNA from 1 species
CUGGCUCAGGACGAACGCUGGCGGCGUGCCUAAUACAUGCAAGUCGAGCGAACAGAAGGGAGCUUGCUCCCGGAUGUUAGCGGCGGACGGGUGAGUAACACGUGGGUAACCUGCCUGUAAGACUGGGAUAACUCCGGGAAACCGGAGCUAAUACCGGAUAGUUCCUUGAACCGCAUGGUUCAAGGAUGAAAGACGGUUUCGGCUGUCACUUACAGAUGGACCCGCGGCGCAUUAGCUAGUUGGUGGGGUAAUGGCUCACCAAGGCGACGAUGCGUAGCCGACCUGAGAGGGUGAUCGGCCACACUGGGACUGAGACACGGCCCAGACUCCUACGGGAGGCAGCAGUAGGGAAUCUUCCGCAAUGGACGAAAGUCUGACGGAGCAACGCCGCGUGAGUGAUGAAGGUUUUCGGAUCGUAAAGCUCUGUUGUUAGGGAAGAACAAGUGCGAGAGUAACUGCUCGCACCUUGACGGUACCUAACCAGAAAGCCACGGCUAACUACGUGCCAGCAGCCGCGGUAAUACGUAGGUGGCAAGCGUUGUCCGGAAUUAUUGGGCGUAAAGGGCUCGCAGGCGGUUUCUUAAGUCUGAUGUGAAAGCCCCCGGCUCAACCGGGGAGGGUCAUUGGAAACUGGGAAACUUGAGUGCAGAAGAGGAGAGUGGAAUUCCACGUGUAGCGGUGAAAUGCGUAGAGAUGUGGAGGAACACCAGUGGCGAAGGCGACUCUCUGGUCUGUAACUGACGCUGAGGAGCGAAAGCGUGGGGAGCGAACAGGAUUAGAUACCCUGGUAGUCCACGCCGUAAACGAUGAGUGCUAAGUGUUAGGGGGUUUCCGCCCCUUAGUGCUGCAGCUAACGCAUUAAGCACUCCGCCUGGGGAGUACGGUCGCAAGACUGAAACUCAAAGGAAUUGACGGGGGCCCGCACAAGCGGUGGAGCAUGUGGUUUAAUUCGAAGCAACGCGAAGAACCUUACCAGGUCUUGACAUCCUCUGACAACCCUAGAGAUAGGGCUUUCCCUUCGGGGACAGAGUGACAGGUGGUGCAUGGUUGUCGUCAGCUCGUGUCGUGAGAUGUUGGGUUAAGUCCCGCAACGAGCGCAACCCUUGAUCUUAGUUGCCAGCAUUUAGUUGGGCACUCUAAGGUGACUGCCGGUGACAAACCGGAGGAAGGUGGGGAUGACGUCAAAUCAUCAUGCCCCUUAUGACCUGGGCUACACACGUGCUACAAUGGACAGAACAAAGGGCUGCGAGACCGCAAGGUUUAGCCAAUCCCAUAAAUCUGUUCUCAGUUCGGAUCGCAGUCUGCAACUCGACUGCGUGAAGCUGGAAUCGCUAGUAAUCGCGG